ACUCUCAAGUGGCGCAGCGGUCAAAGGCACAGCACAUCAGUACUAGAGGUGUCACUACAGACUCCCUGGUUCAAAUCCAGGCUGCGUUUCCAUCAAAAAACCAGAAACAUUAUUUGCCAAUAUCAUAACUGGAGCUGGACAUCUUUGGAGCUGAAGAAUGAGGACAGCUUUUGUAUGCUAACGUACACUCCUUAACAGUUGUACUGGAUGAAAACACAGCAAGAAAACACAUAUGCCAAUAUGUAAUAUUCAUCUAUUUUAUUGCAGUACUGGUAGUUGGUUCAACAACUUGUUUUACUAGAGGACAAAAAACUGAAUAUGCAUAACCCAUAUUUAAUAUCCAUGCAGUGACUGAACAACAACUGCAUUUCCACCCCCAUCUCUAACGCAUAGUAUCAUGGCUGGUCACCUGUCAAGUCACAUGUCAGGCAGACUUUGCAAUGCCUCCGUGUGCGACUACCUUGAGAAGCAGUUUGAGGGACUUUGCAGGGAAAAUGUCGUGCAGUGAGGCGUAGGGGAUUGUCUACAGCAGGACGACCCCCAGUGGAUGGGCGCCGAGGGGUGUGGUGCUCCUCCGGCAGCUCUCUCAUGAGGUUCUCUCUGUAUUUUUGGUAGGUAAUUACUUUACCUAUGAGGGAGUGGGGAGGAUGAGGAAAGUUAGAGGAUGAUGAGGCAGUGGGUAGGUGGGUGAGAUAUUGUCACUAUAAUUGCAUAAUGGAUUUGUAUGUGAACUGUACAUCCAAUUACAAAAAUACCUUGUUCAGUAAUCAUCUCACCUGUUAGUUGGCGGUGAACUAUGCUGCCGUUGAGGACAGCAGUGUC